GGAUCAUCAGGUUGGUCGCGCCUCUGGUAUGUACUGAUUUCGAUGGUUCCUCCUUCUUGUAGAACCGUAAUGCCAUUAAUUUGGUGUUGCGGGAAAACAGGACUGUUACUUUGAAAAAAUUAGAGUGUUUAAAGCAGGCAAUCGCUUGAAUACAUUAGCAUGGAGUAAUGAGAUAGGACGUUUGAACCUAUUUUGUUGGUUCUAGGAUUGACGUAAUGAUUAAUAGGGAUAGUUGGGCU
rnacentral:rRNA from 1 species